GUGGGAUUAGCUCAGCUGCUUAGAGCAUGGUUCUAAUAAUGCCAAGGUUGUUGGUUCUAUUCCUGUAUGGGUCA